rnacentral:rRNA from 1 species
GGUCAGCUCGUGUCGUGAGAUGUUGGGUUAAGUCCCGCAACGAGCGCAACCCCUAUGUUCAGUUGCCACCCGGCCGAGAGGCUGGAGCACUCUGGAGAGACUGCCUCUUAUAAAAGGGGAGGAAGGUGGGGAUGACGUCAAGUCAGGAUGGCCCUUAUGGCCAGGGCUGCACACGUACUACAAUGCGUGCUACAAAGGGAAGCGAAUCCGCAAGGAGAAGCCAAUCCGAUAAAAGCACGCUCAGUUCGGAUUGUCGGCUGCAAUUCGCCAGC